UGGCGGACGGGUGAGUAUGUCUGGGAAACUGCCUGAUGGAGGGGGAUAACUACUGGAAACGGUAGCUAAUACCGCAUAACGUCGCAAGACCAAAGAGGGGGACCUUCGGGCCUCUUGCCAUCGGAUGUGCCCAGAUGGGAUUAGCUAGUAGGUGGGGUAAAGGCUCACCUAGGCGACGAUCCCUAGCUGGUCUGAGAGGAUGACCAGCCACACUGGAACUGAGACACGGUCCAG
rnacentral:rRNA from 1 species